UACGUAGGGGGCAAGCGUUGUCCGGAUUUAUUGGGCGUAAAGAGCGUGUAGGCGGCCAGAUAGGUCGGUUGUGAAAUCUGGAGGCUCAACCUCCAGACGUCGACCGAAACCAUCUGGCUAGAGUCCGGAAGAGGAGAGUGGAAUUCCUGGUGUAGCGGUGAAAUGCGCAGAUAUCAGGAAGAACACCCGUGGCGAAGGCGGCUCUCUGGGACGGUACUGACGCUGAGACGCGAAAGCGUGGGGAGCGAACAGG
rnacentral:rRNA from 1 species